rnacentral:rRNA from 1 species
GACGAACGCUGGCGGCGUGCUUAACACAUGCAAGUCGAACGGUAAGGCCCUUCGGGGUACACGAGUGGCGAACGGGUGAGUAACACGUGGGUGAUCUGCCCUGCACUUCGGGAUAAGCCUGGGAAACUGGGUCUAAUACCGGAUAGGACCACUGCCUGCAUGGGUGGGGGUGGAAAGCUUUUGCGGUGUGGGAUGGGCCCGCGGCCUAUCAGCUUGGUGGUGGGGUGAUGGCCUACCAAGGCGACGACAGGUAGCCGGCCUGAGAGGGUGACCGGCCACACUGGGACUGAGAUACGGCCCAGACUCCUACGGGAGGCAGCAGUGGGGAAUAUUGCACAAUGGGCGCAAGCCUGAUGCAGCGACGCCGCGUGAGGGAUGACGGCCUUCGGGUUGUAAACCUCUUUCAGCACCGACGAAGCGCAAGUGACGGUAGGUGCAGAAGAAGGACCGGCCAACUACGUGCUAGCAGCCGCCGCCG